rnacentral:rRNA from 1 species
CGGACGAACGGCUGGCGGGCGUGGAUUAGGCAUGCAAGUCGGACGGUAGGGCUUUAUCGUAAGAUAGAGUUUGAGAGUGGCGAACGGGUGAGUAACACGUAGGAAUCUACCCUUAAGACGGGGACAACCCAGGGAAACUUGGGCUAAUACCGGAUGAGAGUGCGAGAGAUUGCAUUUAAAAGGAUGGCGAAAGUUGUCGCUUAGGGAUGAGCCUGCGGUCUAUUAGUUAGUUGGUGAGGUAAGAGCUCACCAAGGCGAUGAUAGAUAGGCGGCCUUAACGGGUGGUCGCCCACACUGGAACUGAGACACGGUCCAGACUCCUACGGGAGGCAGCAGUGGGGAAUAUUGCACAAUGGGCGAAAGCCUGAUGCAGCAACGCCGCGUGAGGGAUGACGGCCUUCGGGUUGUAAAGCUCUUUCGGCCGGGAAGAAAUCGCAUGGGUUAAUACCCUGUGUGGAUGACGGUACCGGAAUAAGAAGCACCGGCUAACUACGUG